UUCAGAUAUGCGAUGUUAGAGAUACCAAGGUUAUCUACAGAUUUCAAGCUCAUCUUUGCUAUCCUAUAUAGAAAAGUAUUACAGACAUAAGAUGUUAUAAAUAUCUGUAGAUAAGAGACUUAUGAGGUAUUAGACAUGAGAAUUCAAAACGAAAUGGGAAGGGGCUGUUGGUGGAUUGGCCCAGCUAUGGUCGCGAGGCCAAUUCGGCAGGCAAUGAACAACCAACUUAGAACUGGCAGUGACUAGGGGAAUCCGACUGUUUAAUUAAAACAAAGCAUUGCGAUGGCCGGAAACGGUGUUGACGCAAUGUGAUUUCUGCCCAGUGCUCUGAAUGUCAAAGUGAAGAAAUUAUUGUUAGUAAACACUGUCACAGAGGAUGGCCACUUCCGGAGUGCUUAUUGCGUCCCCAGUGGUUCUUUUUCGAUUCAGGUUUGUGUAGUGCAACUUGAAGAGACGGGGUCUCCGGUUUGGUGUCCUAAUUUAGACUUACUAGACUCAAAGGAUGUGAUACGCGACUUCAAGUAAAAUUUUCCCGUUCAAAGAAACAUUGUCAUCCCAUUUAAAGAUCAGUCUACCCCGGCAGAUGUCACCCCUCCGCGGCGUUACCCGCACGAUCACGCCCGCACAAGAGAUGACUAUGUUUGCGAUAAGUAGUCAUCUCCCAAACGAACUAUGUUAGAACUGUUGAUUUUGAACUUUAUGUUUAGAGCUAAUGAUAGACUAAAGGACUUAGUUUCCCCAGGUCACUUUGAUUGUAUACUUUAAUUUAGUUUGAAUUACGUCUAUUAUAUAUGUGGAACAAAGUGGCAGGGGAACAUAGUGGCAGUGGAACAUAGUAGCAGGGGAACAUAGUGGUAGGGGAACAUAGUGGUAGGGGAACAUAGUAGGAGGGGAACAUAGUGGCAGUGGAACAUAGUAGCAGGGGAACAUAGUGGUAGGGGAACAUAGUGGCAGUGGAACAUAGUAGCAGGCCUAUAGUUAAGGGUAAACCCUCGCACUUUGCAAACGGUCUUCCCAUUAUAACCGUAAUUCUUCGGACCCCCAGAAACGAAGAUCGUUAUGUAUUUCCCCUCAUCUAACUCGUUGGUUAGAUCCCCAAGAUAAUCCCCUCUAGGAGGAUGCCAAUCCCCGGGUUGC
rnacentral:ncRNA from 1 species